rnacentral:tRNA from 2 species
GCGCCGAUGGUUUAGUGGUAAAAUUCUCCGUUGCCAUUGAGCAGCGUCGGGGAGCCGGGGGUUCGAUUCCCCCUCGGCGCA